rnacentral:rRNA from 1 species
AACGAACGCUGGCGGCAGGCCUAAUACAUGCAAGUCGAACGGAUGUAGCAAUACAUUAGUGGCGCACGGGUGCCUAACGCGUGGGAACAUACCCUUGAGUAAGGGAUAAUGUCUGGAAACGGACACUAAUACCUUAUAAUGACUUCGGUCCAAAGAUUCAUCGCUCAAGGAUUGGCCCGCGUCUGAUUAGCUAGUUGGUGAGGUAACGGCUCACCAAGGCGACGAUCAGUAGCUGGUCUGAGAGGAUGAUCAGCCACACUGGGACUGAGACGCGGCCCAGACUCCUACGGGAGGCAGCAGUAAGGAAUAUUGGACAAUGGGGGAAACCCUGAUCCAGCCAUGCCGCGUGAGUGAAGAAGGCCUUAGGGUUGUAAAGCUCUUUCAAUAGUGAAGAUAAUGACGGUAGCUAUAGAAGAAGCCCCGGCUAAAUUCGUGCCAGCCGCCGCGGUAA